rnacentral:rRNA from 1 species
GACGAACGCUGGCGGCGCGCCUAACACAUGCAAGUCGAACGGAGUCACGAGGAGCUUGCUUUUCUUGACUUAGUGGCGAACGGGUGAGUAACGCGUGAGUAACCUGCCCUGGAGUGGGGGACAACAUUUGGAAACGACUGCUAAUACCGCAUAAGCCCACGGAUCUGCAUGGAUCUGCGGGAAAAGGAUUUAUUCGCUCUAGGAUGGACUCGCGUCCAAUUAGCUAGUUGGUGAGGUAACGGCCCACCAAGGCGACGAUUGGUAGCCGGACUGAGAGGUUGAACGGCCACAUUGGGACUGAGACACGGCCCAGACUCAUACGGGAGGCAGAAGUGGGGGAUAUUGCACAAUGGGGGAAACCCUGAUGAAGCGACGCCGCGUGGAGGAAGAAGGUUUUCGGAUUGUAAACUCCUGUCGUGAGGGACGAUAAUGACGGUACCUAACAAGAAAGCACCGGCUAACUACGUG